rnacentral:rRNA from 1 species
AUUGAACGCUGGCGGCAGGCCUAACACAUGCAAGUCGAACGUGAAAACUCCUUCGGGAGUGAGUAGAGUGGCGAACGGGUGAGUAACGCGUAGGAAUCUACCCAAGAGUGGGGGACAACCCGGAGAAAUCCGGGCUAAUACCGCAUACGCCCUACGGGGUAAAGUGGGGGACCUUUCGGGGCCUCAUGCUUUUGGAUGAGCCUGCGUCGGAUUAGCUUGUUGGUGAGGUAACGGCUCACCAAGGCGACGAUCCGUAGCUGGUCUGAGAGGAUGACCAGCCACACUGGGACUGAGACACGGCCCAGACUCCUACGGGAGGCAGCAGUGGGGAAUAUUGGACAAUGGGGGCAACCCUGAUCCAGCCAUGCCGCGUGUGUGAAGAAGGCCUUCGGGUUGUAAAGCACUUUCAGUAGGGAAGAAAUGCCUAAGGUUAAUACCCUUGGGUCUUGACGGUACCUACAGAAGAAGCACCGGCUAAUUCCGUG